rnacentral:tRNA from 1 species
GGGGAUUUAGCUCAGCGGUAGAGCACUUGCCUAGCAAGCGCGAGGCCCUGGGUUCGGUCCCCAGCUCCG